rnacentral:rRNA from 1 species
ACGGCUAAUCAGUGCCAGCAGCCGCGGUAAUACUGAAGGUGCAAGCGUAAUCGGAAUUACUGGGCGUAAAGCGCGCGUAGGCGGCUUGUUAAGUCGGGAUGUGAAAAAGCCCCCUGGGGGCUCAACCUGGGAACUGCAUUCGAUACUGGCGAGCUAGAGUAUGGGAGAGGGCUGUGGAAUUUCUAGUGUAGCGGUGAAAUGCGUAGAUAUUAGAAGGAACAUCAGUGGCGAAGGCGGCAGCCUGGCCCAAUACUGACGCUGAGGUGCGAAAGCGUGGGGAGCAAACAGGAUUAGGUACCCUGGUAGUCCACGCCGUAAACGAUGUCAACUAGCCGUUGGGAGACUUGAUCUCUUAGUGGCGCAGCUAACGCACUAAGUUGACCGCCUGGGGAGUACGGCCGCAAGGUUAAAACUCAAAUGAAUUGACGG